rfam:Microdochium bolleyi strain J235TASD1 unplaced genomic scaffold Micbo1qcscaffold_2, whole genome shotgun sequence.
GGUUGUGUAGUGUAGCGGUUAGCACGUGGGAUUUUGAUCACAUAAAUCUUCCUGAGACCCCGGUUCGAGCCCGGGCACGACCU